AUAUUUCGUCUGCCAACGAGAAUGCACCACCUGAAGAUGAACACACUUCUGGAGACGAUGAUGUCGACGAAAGUAUGGAUGCAGAUGGUAUUGAUCUAGAAGAUGAUAAUGUAGAGCAAGAAGAAGAUGUUGACACUGAUAAUAUUCAGAGUGAUGUUGUGGAUGAGCCAAAUGAUGAUGAGAGAUUGGACUCUGGUUUUGUUGACGAGGUAU